GAUGAACGCUGGCGGCGUGCCUAAUACAUGCAAGUCGAGCGAACGGACGAGAAGCUUGCUUCUCUGAUGUUAGCGGCGGACGGGUGAGUAACACGUGGAUAACCUACCUAUAAGACUGGGAUAACUUCGGGAAACCGGAGCUAAUACCGGAUAAUAUUUUGAACCGCAUGGUUCAAAAGUAAAAGACGGUCUUGCUGUCACUUAUAGAUGGAUCCGCGCUGCAUUAGCUAGUUGGUAAGGUAACGGCUUACCAAGGCAACGAUGCAUAGCCGACCUGAGAGGGUGAUCGGCCACACUGGAACUGAGACACGGUCCAGACUCCUACGGGAGGCAGCAGUAGGGAAUCUUCCGCAAUGGGCGAAAGCCUGACGGAGCAACGCCGCGUGAGUGAUGAAGGUCUUCGGAUCGUAAAACUCUGUUAUUAGGGAAGAACAUAUGUGUAAGUAACUGUGCACAUCUUGACGGUACCUAAUCAGAAAGCCACGGCUAACUACGUGCCAGCAGCCGCGGUAAUACGUANGUGGCAAGCGUUAUCCGGAAUUAUUGGGCGUAAAGCGCGCGUAGCGGUUUUUUAAGUCUGAUGUGAAAGCCCACGGCUCAACCGUGGAGGGUCAUUGGAAACUGGAAAACUUGAGUGCAGAAGAGGAAAGUGGAAUUCCAUGUGUAGCGGUGAAAUGCGCAGAGAUAUGGAGGAACACCAGUGGCGAAGGCGACUUUCUGGUCUGUAACUGACGCUGAUGUGCGAAAGCGUGGGGAUCAAACAGGAUUAGAUACCCUGGUAGUCCACGCCGUAAACGAUGAGUGCUAAGUGUUAGGGGGUUUCCGCCCCUUAGUGCUGCAGCUAACGCAUUAAGCACUCCGCCUGGGGAGUACGACCGCAAGGUUGAAACUCAAAGGAAUUGACGGGGACCCGCACAAGCGGUGGAGCAUGUGGUUUAAUUCGAAGCAACGCGAAGAACCUUACCAAAUCUUGACAUCCUUUGACAACUCUAGAGAUAGAGCCUUCCCCUUCGGGGGACAAAGUGACAGGUGGUGCAUGGUUGUCGUCAGCUCGUGUCGUGAGAUGUUGGGUUAAGUCCCGCAACGAGCGCAACCCUUAAGCUUAGUUGCCAUCAUUAAGUUGGGCACUCUAAGUUGACUGCCGGUGACAAACCGGAGGAAGGUGGGGAUGACGUCAAAUCAUCAUGCCCCUUAUGAUUUGGGCUACACACGUGCUACAAUGGACAAUACAAAGGGCAGCGAAACCGCGAGGUCAAGCAAAUCCCAUAAAGUUGUUCUCAGUUCGGAUUGUAGUCUGCAACUCGACUACAUGAAGCUGGAAUCGCUAGUAAUCGUAGAUCAGCAUGCUACGGGUGAUACGUUCCGGGGUCU
rnacentral:rRNA from 1 species